rnacentral:tRNA from 1 species
GCCAACUUAGCUCAGCUGGCCAGAGCACGUGAUUUGUAAUCUCGGGGUCUAGGGUUCGAAUCCCUAAGUUGGCUCAU